rnacentral:lncRNA from 10 species
GGAGCUCUAAAUUCUAGUCCUGUUUUUGACCUUGGCUGUGUUAAGCAACCUUUAUAAGCCAGUGUUUACUCAUUUUCAAAUGGAUUGAUAUUUCUUGCCCUGGCUUCCUCACAGGGCUUCUGUGACAAGCAAAUGAGAAAAUAGAUGCACAAAUGCUUUGUAACCUAUAAGACUUUGUGCAAAUGUGUGAAAUGAAAUAAUCUUUCCAAAGUCCACCUGUCCCUCUAGCUUCCCUUUCUCUUGGUUCCUUUAUACAACAUAUAUACAUCUCUGCCUGUUGCCAAACAACUGCCUCUCCCAGCUUCACAUUUAUGUAUCUGCCACCACUUUGGGGAACAAACUCUGCUUGUCCCUGGUGGAGAAAGGGGCCAGGUCUCCUAAUCCUGCUCUAACUCUUCCUGGAGUCUCUCUCUCUCCAUCUCCUGGGCUCCUCCUCUAGUUAUGCAGAGGGAACAGGGCUUCUGAUCAGCUUAGAGCUGCCCGGUUCUCUCUCACUCAGUGGACGUGGUCCCAGCCCUGACUGCAGAGAUCUGUCCCUUCACUCCACUGAGCUCCUUGUCCCACCCUUC